rnacentral:pre_miRNA from 1 species
GAAGAAGAGAGCAAAAUGUAGCCAAAGACAACUUGCCGGCAAACCUCAGCUGCAUAAAGCAAGAGUACUGUAAAUGCCGGCAAGUCAUCCUUGGCUGCAAUCCAAUCUCUUGUGC